GAUGAACGCUGGCGGCGUGCCUAAUACAUGCAAGUCGAGCGAACAGACGAGGAGCUUUCUCCUCUGACGUUAGCGGCGGACGGGUGAGUAACACGUGGAUAACCUACCUCUUAGACUGGGAUAACUUCGGGAAACCGGAGCCAAUACCAGGUAAUAUAUUGAACCGCAUGGUUCAAUAGUGAAAGACGGUUUUCCUGUCACUUAUAGAUGGAUCCGCGCCGCAUUAGCUAGUUGGUAAGGUAACGGCUUACCAAGGCAACGAUGCGUAGCCGACCUGAGAGGGUGAUCGGCCACACUGGAACUGAGACACGGUCCAGACUCCUACGGGAGGCAGCAGUAGGGAAUCUUCCGCAAUGGGCGAAAGCCUGACGGAGCAACGCCGCGUGAGUGAUGAAGGUCUUCGGAUCGUAAAGCUCUGUUAUUAGGGAAGAACAAAUGUGUAAGUAACUAUGGACGUCUUGACGGUACCUAAUCAGAAAGCCACGGCUAACUACGUG
rnacentral:rRNA from 1 species